GGGUCGUUAGCUUAGUCGGUAGAGCGGUUGACUCUUAAUCAAUUGGUCGCAGGUUCGAUCCCUGCACGACCCA
rnacentral:tRNA from 1 species